rnacentral:lncRNA from 1 species
UUUAAGUGACCAGACUGGAGGUAAGGUCCCUGGUCGAGCAUUGCUCUCGGGGCGCCAGUCUUAUUGGAUUAAGAGAGCCGAAUGGCUACUAGAUUUCUUAUUUGGAUAUUUAAGUGACCAGACUGGAAGUAAGGUCCCUGGUCGAGCUUUGCUCUCGGGGCGCCAGUCUUAUUGGAUAAGAGAGCCAAAAGGCUAAGGCUGAGAGUUAAGUGACCGGACUGGAGGUAAGGUCCCUGGUCGAGCUUUGCUCUCUGGGCGCCAGUCCUGUUGGAAUGAGAGGUUUGAGAUGAUAGAGUUGAGGUUAGUUGAGACAUGAGUGUUGAAAUAAUCGAGAUUUUAGAGUUGGGAUUAGAGUUCUACUGAAGUACUCUGUCCCGUUGCAUGUGGAAUAAAUUUUGUUUAAGCAUGGCAUGACACAUAUGUUUUAACAUGACACGUAUGGUUCGCGUGAUUUAUUAAUUAUUUUAAAAUUAAAUGAAUGUGACAUUGAGAUAUUUGAAACUGUUUUAGAUAUAUGAUUUUAACUCACUCUCGAGACUGACAGUCUCCAUUUAUGUUUUUUUCAGAUUCGUGACUGUUAGUUCUCCCGCGACUCUUAUUCAGUAACCCGACUCCUUCAUCAUCGGGUGAAGUAUUUGAUUUGGUAUGUAAAAUGGUAAAUCUUAGAUUCUCCGCAGUAGUAAUAGUAAAUGUAUCAGUUGUAAAUUUUUCUGAGCUUCGGGUCUCGCCUAGUUUUUCUGGCAGACCGAAGUAUUUAUGUAGAAUGUGGC